AGUCAAUAUAGAUACUACAUCCUAUUGUCACCACCAUUGAAAUACAUUUGGAAUCUUAAGAUCAAGGAGGAGAUUGUGGUUAUAAAUGUCUGAUGGCAUCUCUACAUCUCAGGUGAAGCAUGGAGGAUUUCACAGAUGAAGUGAGUGAUACCUGAAUAGCUAUUGGAGAAUAUGUAAAAGUGAGAAACAGAGCAUGAAUCUGAAGAAGUCAUACAAACGUGAGAAAGAAGUUGAGAAAGAGAUUUUCCUGCGUAAGAAAAUGCUGUGUUUGAAAAGUCUGUUGAAAGUUUUUUUAGAUCUUUCCUGAUUACGAAUCCAGUCUGCUAAUGUGAAGAAGCCUGGACAAAUUUAGAGAACUGCCCCACUGAAACUAACUGUGGUGAUCAUCAAGAAAUGAAGAUUGAACCUCAAAAAGAUACUACAGAAUUCAUCUUUGUGAAUUUGGGGCUCUAGUGGAUAAUUAAUGGUUCCUGAUUGAGAUUAAUUCAAGGACAAUUGAAUGAAUAUCGCAGACCUCUUGACUCACUUAAGAGUUCAUAAACAAAUACGCAAAUUGGAGAGCGGUAGCAUUUUGAUAAAUAUUAUCCAGCUUUUUUAUAAGAUGUUAAGAGUCUCCAGAAAUAAAAAGCAGCAACAACAACAUUAUUAAGAGUCAGAUACUAUUAGGACCACUAUGAUCUAUUCAUUGGCUGUCAUACCUCCAUAACAGUUUAAAUUACAAACAAAACCAGAAAACAACUGUUAGCUAGCCUGACAGUUAUUUAAUUACUAUUGGCAUUGACAACUUAGAUUAAUUUAUUUUCAAUAGGUAGAUCUUUAACAUUCUUCAUCAUAGUAGGAUUUUGCAGAAUUUUAUCCCAACUCAGAUAAUUUUCUUUUUCUAAUUUCCUAUCAUUGAGAAAGAUGAAAAUAAGAAUACAAAUGCUAUAUAUUUGUGUGUUCAAUUUGAUCAAGCACUGAUUUUGGGGGAUAGUUUAUUUUAGUUUGAGACGUUUUUAGCCUUAUUUGGCAGAUAUGCACAUCGAUUGAAUAGACCCAUCUGUUGUCCCAGCAAUUAGUUGGCUUGCAUCUAGAUAAAUCAGGCAUGUAUCCAAUGUGAGAGGAAUCUUCUGUGGGAGGCCUUGAUUAUGAAAUUAAGAUGUGGCUUCCAAGAGAAAUGCCAACUGAAUGUAAGCCAUGAGCCUGUGCAUUCAUUCAUGGCAUUUUGGGAAUUUUCUGAGACAUACACCGUUUACUCAAAAUAUUAAUUGAAAAAAGUUCAUUUGUCAGAAUAAAAUUGGCUUCAGAUUUGCUUUGAGUAAUUUCGUGAUGUAUUAAAACACCCAAAUCACAACUGAUAAAAGUAUGCCUCACUUGUUAGAUUUACUUAAGACUUCUAGAGCUUGACAUGUUAAUAUUUGCAUAACUAUACAAAUAUUUUAGCAGAAUAUUUUCAGACAACUAAGCUUUAAAAAAUAUUUUUUCUAAAUGUUAAGGUCAGAAUUGAG
rnacentral:lncRNA from 10 species